rnacentral:rRNA from 1 species
UGGGGAAUAUUGUACAAUGGGCGCAAGCCUGAUCCAGCCAUGCCGCGUGAGUGACGAAGGCCCUAGGGUUGUAAAGCUCUUUUGGCAGGGACGAUCAUGACGGUACCUGCAGAAUAAGCCCCGGCUAAGUUCGUGCCAGCAGCCGCGGUAAUACGAAGGGGGCUAGCGAUGUUCGGAAUUACUGGGCGUAAAGCGCGCGUAGGCGGACUGGUCAGUUGGGGGUGAAAUCCCGGAGCGCAACCUCGGAACUGCCUUCAAUACUGCCAGUCUCGAGUCCGGAAGAGGUGAGUGGAAUUCCUAGUGUAGAGGUGAAAUUCGUAGAUAUUAGGAAGAACACCAGUGGCGAAGGCGGCUCACUGGUCCGGUACUGACGCUGAGGUGCGAAAGCGUGGGGAGCAAACAGGAUUAGAUACCCGCGUAGUCC